UACGAAGGGUGCAAGCGUUACUCGGAAUUACUGGGCGUAAAGCGUGCGUAGGUGGUUUGUUAAGUCUGAUGUGAAAGCCCUGGGCUCAACCUGGGAAUUGCAUUUGUGACUGUAUAGCUGGAGUGCGGCAGAGGGGGAUGGAAUUCCGCGUGUAGCAGUGAAAUGCGUAGACAUGCGGAGGAACACCAAUGGCGAAGGCAAUCCCCUGGGCCUGCACUGACGCUCAUGCACGAAAGCGUGGGGAGCAAACAGG
rnacentral:rRNA from 1 species